ACUACGAGCACCAGCUUAAAACCCAAAGGACUUGGCGGUGCUUUAGAUCCCCCUAGAGGAGCCUGUCCUAGAACCGAUAAUCCCCGUUUAACCUCACCUUUUCUUGUUCUCCCCGCCUAUAUACCGCCGUCGUCAGCUUACCCUGUGAAGGUUUUAUAGUAAGCAAAGUUAGUAUAACCCAAAACGUCAGGUCGAGGUGUAGCGUAUGGAAAGGAAAGAGAUGGGCUACAUUCCCUACAACAGUGAACUACGAAUUAUAUAGUGAAACCCUAUAUCUGAAGGAGGAUUUAGCAGU
rnacentral:rRNA from 1 species